GUGUUAGCUCCACUGAUAGUGACUGCCCAUUUGAUUCACGUGUCCUAAGCCCCCUCACAUCUGACUAUGAAUAUGGAAACAGAACUGCUACAAACAGCCCAUCAAGCUUGAAGCAGAAAGAUCAAUCCCCUAUUGUCUGUAAAAAAAGCUCCAAAGAGGUGUUGAAGCCUGUUGAUUUUUCACUCAGUAAUCAUAUUCCUUCUACAUCUCCAAGACGGGCUCCUUUAAGCACUCAUGUACAGAAUUUACAGAUUCCUAAUCGAGGUGCAUUCUGCAGU
rnacentral:misc_RNA from 1 species